AGAGGGGGCAAGCGUUGUUCGGAAUUACUGGGCGUAAAGGGCGCGUAGGCGGCCUUCUAAGUCGAACGUGAAAUCCCCGGGCUCAACCCGGGAACUGCGUCCGAUACUGGUGGGCUCGAAUUCGGGAGAGGGAUGCGGAAUUCCAGGUGUAGCGGUGAAAUGCGUAGAUAUCUGGAGGAACACCGGUGGCGAAGGCGGCAUCCUGGACCGGCAUUGACGCUGAGGCGCGAAAGCCAGGGGAGCAAACGGGAUUAGAUACCCCGGUAGUCCUGGCCCUAAACGAUGAAUGCUUGGUGUGGCGGGUAUCGAUCCCUGCCGUGCCGAAGCUAACGCAUUAAGCAUUCCGCCUGGGGAGUACGGUCGCAAGGCUGAA
rnacentral:rRNA from 1 species